rnacentral:rRNA from 1 species
UGCAGUCGAGCGGCAGCACAAGGGAGUUUACUCCUGAGGUGGCGAGCGGCGGACGGGUGAGUAAUGCCUAGGGAUCUGCCCAGUCGAGGGGGAUAACAGUUGGAAACGACUGCUAAUACCGCAUACGCCCUACGGGGGAAAGAGGGGGACUUUCGGGCCUCUCGCGAUUGGAUGAACCUAGGUGGGAUUAGCUAGUUGGUGAGGUAAUGGCUCACCAAGGCGACGAUCCCUAGCUGUUCUGAGAGGAUGAUCAGCCACACUGGGACUGAGACACGGCCCAGACUCCUACGGGAGGCAGCAGUGGGGAAUAUUGCACAAUGGGGGAAACCCUGAUGCAGCCAUGCCGCGUGUGUGAAGAAGGCCUUCGGGUUGUAAAGCACUUUCAGUAGGGAGGAAAGGUUGUAAGUUAAUACCUUGCAGCUGUGACGUUACCUACAGAAGAAGGACCGGCUAACUCCGUGCCAGCAGCCGCGGUAAUACGGAGGGUCCAAGCGUUAAUCGGAAUUACUGGGCGUAAAGCGUGCGCAGGCGGUUUGUUAAGCGAGAUGUGAAAGCCCCGGGCUCAACCUGGGAAUUGCAUUUCGAACUGGCAAACUAGAGUCUUGUAGAGGGGGGUAGAAUUCCAGGUG